rnacentral:rRNA from 1 species
CAAUAGCGUAUAUUAAAGUUGUUGCAGUUAAAAAGCUCGUAGUUGGACCUUGGACCUGGACAGGCGGUCCGCCUCACGGCGAGUACUGUCUUGCUGGGUCUUUCCUCUUGGUGAUCUGUUGUUUCGGCAGCAGGGAACCAGGACCUUUACUUUGAAAAAAUUAGAGUGUUCAAAGCAGGCUCGACGCCGGAAUAUAUUAGCAUGGAAUAAUAAAAUAGGUCGUGCGGUUCUAUUUUGUUGGUUUUUGGAAUCGCCGUAAUGAUUAAUAGGGACAGUCGGGGGCAUUAGUACUCACAUGCUAGAGGUGAAAUUCUUGGAUUUUGUGAAGACUAACUUCUGCGAAAGCAUUUGCCAAGGAUGUUUUCAUUA